rnacentral:rRNA from 1 species
CCUACGGGAGGCAGCAGUGGGGAAUAUUGCACAAUGGGGGAAACCCUGAUGCAGCGACGCCGCGUGAGUGAAGAAGUAAUUCGUUAUGUAAAGCUCUAUCAGCAGGGAAGAAAAUGACGGUACCUGAGUAAGAAGCCCCGGCUAACUACGUGCCAGCCGCCGCGGUACUACGUAGGGGGCAAGCGUUAUCCGGAUUUACUGGGUGUAAAGGGAGCGUAGACGGCAGUGCAAGUCUGGAGUGAAAGGCGGGGGCUCAACCCCCGGACUGCUCUGGAAACUGUACGGCUGGAGUGCAGGAGAGGUAAGUGGAAUUCCUAGUGUAGCGGUGAAAUGCGUAGAUAUUAGGAGGAACACCAGUGGCGAAGGCGGCUUACUGGACUGUAACUGACGUUGAGGCUCGAAAGCGUGGGGAGCAAACAGGAUUAGAUACCCUUGUAGUC